UACGUAGGUGGCAAGCGUUGUCCGGAAUUAUUGGGCGUAAAGCGCUCGUAGGCGGUGUGUCACGUCGGCCGUGAAAACCUGCAGCUUAACUGUGGGCGUGCGGUCGAUACGGGCAUCACUGGAGUUCGGCAGGGGAGACUGGAAUUCCUGGUGUAGCGGUGAAAUGCGCAGAUAUCAGGAGGAACACCGGUGGCGAAGGCGAGUCUCUGGGCCGAUACUGACGCUGAGGAGCGAAAGCGUGGGGAGCGAACAGG
rnacentral:rRNA from 1 species